rnacentral:rRNA from 1 species
UACGGGAGGCAGCAGUGGGGAAUAUUGCACAAUGGGCGCAAGCCUGAUGCAGCCAUGCCGCGUGUAUGAAGAAGGCCUUCGGGUUGUAAAGUACUUUCAGUCGUGAGGAAGGUGUUAAGGUUAAUAACCUUAGCAAUUGACGUUAGCGACAGAAGAAGCACCGGCUAACUCCGUGCCAGCAGCCGCGGUAAUACGGAGGGUGCGAGCGUUAAUCGGAAUUACUGGGCGUAAAGGGCACGCAGGCGGUUAAUUAAGUUGGAUGUGAAAUCCCCGGGCUUAACCUGGGAAUGGCAUUCAAGACUGGUUAGCUAGAGUCUUGUAGAGGGGGUUAGAAUUCCAUGUGUAGCGGUGAAAUGCGUAGAGAUGUGGAGGAAUACCGGUGGCGAAGGCGGCCCCUGGGACAAAGACUGACGCUCAUGUGCGAAAGCGUGGGGAGCAACAGGAUUAGAUAC